rnacentral:sRNA from 1 species
AUAGUAAACGGUAACGAUUACGGUUUACUAUUGUAUCGAA